CCUCCCAACCGUUCUUUUACCUCUUUUUCCGGCUCACCCACAACUUCCCCUUCCCAUCGACCUUCUUCUCCCUCUCCCUUCUCUCUUUUUCACAAACAAGAUGAGGUGGACCAGAUUUUGAAUGCCAUGGUUGGGAGAGGAAUUGAGGACGGGGGAGUGAAAGAGUGGGUGCAAAUGGUGGGGUUGUACAAGAGGUUGUUGGAAGCAAGAGAAGAAGAGGUAGAAAGAAGGGUAAAAAGGGAUGGGCAGAGCGAACUUUUAGAGGUAACAGCAGAAGUUGUUGCCUUUUUAC
rnacentral:ribozyme from 1 species